AAAAAUGAAGUUUAAAAAAAGGCUUCUGACUGAGACUGCAUUUUUCAACAUGCCUGAAAUAUGAGGCACAUUGCUGAAGAGGAAAUGAGAAGUGGUGGUGUUUGCAUAAAAUGUAACUGAAUUUUGGACUCAUAAUGAAACACUUAAGGUCCCUUUCGUUGCUCAUACUAAAUUAACACUGAAGUCAAUGGGGAAUUUGAGUGGACAAUAAAUGAGGGAUUGUGCCUCAAUUUUGAAUGUUGUUACUGACAAGAGGAGACAAAAAGAUGAACUAAUAUAUUAGAAAUAUAAUAAUUGAUUUUUAUUUAAAAAUAAUCUAAUUUAUUUUGUUAGUGAUUACAGAAGAACUUAACUGAAGAUUGUACUUUUCUAAAUAACUCUCAUACUAACUUAUCAUCAUUGUGGUUCAUGCUGCCCAUUUUAUAUAAUGUAGCCUCAAAACACUUGCUCACAUCAUUAAUUAACUUGUAAUCAUUUAGCGUUCCACUUAGUUUGCACUGUGGCUCCAAGAAACUCAGGAGAAGUCAUGCCAAAUGAUUUCAGAAGAGCCAAAGUGAAACACAGCCGAAACUUAUCUGGCUAAUCUAAGCACCAAACUGAAUGGACUAAUAACAGGGGUGAUGGAAAUACAGCUUAAGGUGGAAUGAAUCCAGGAAGAAAUGAAGUCCAGCAGAUCUAAACAAAAGAUGAAAGACUUCCUAAAGGCAAUGAAGCUAAAAAAGGAUCAAGCCAAAAAAACAAUUUGCAGAUCAUUGAGUAAGCAAUGACGAAGCUACCACACAAAGCCUGGCAAAAGGGGAACUGUGUGAUUCUUUUGAAGAAAGUGAAAAGUAGAGCAGAAGGAAAGAGAGUCAGUGGAGGUCCUCUGUUCAUAAUGAACUACUGUAGCAGGCAGCUGUACUUGAGACUACAUUGGGACUCAUCAACAACGAUACUGGGAUGAGAAAUGUUAAUUACAAUUGAAUAGCCUCCUGGUUUGGCAGAAAUCCUGGGACAAAGUGGUGGCACUCGGGUUGCAGCUGCAAUAUUUUAUACAAUCCCUGAUAUAAAAACACAGUUGUGCCCUCAUUUUCAUAUAGUGUUUACAGAGGAAGUGGAAAUGGAUUUGUUUCUUUGAGAUAGAAUCCCAAGUUUUUAUUGUGACUUUAGUAGUAGGUUGAUGGUCACGGAAACUGGCUUAUAUUUCUUUGCAUCCAAAUCCAUUUCUGUAACGUUACUCCCAGACAAACUAACUGCUCAUCAGGCACCCAGUGAUUCUCUUUGUGCCCUUUAAAUAAAAGGAAAUAUAGUAAUUAUCAUGCUGGAAACCUGGCAGAUACCAGUGAAUCUGUGGAUUUACUAGAGCAAAUUUAUUACAAUCUGGAAUUUGUUAAUAGCCUCUAGGAGGUGAUUAUGCACUCAGUGAGCAAGCUUAACACCAGUGAGCCAGAAACCUGGGGCCAUGCAUGUGCCUUAGGUCUCAACUGAAACAGGGUUUCCAUAGUGACUCACUCAAGUACUUGGAAGGGGACCAGAUAGCCACCAUAUUUUCCAUAUGUAUUGUACUGUUCAGUGGCUUUCAGUAGACUUUGCACAGGAUGCGAUGGAACAUUUAUCUUGCAGAAUUUGAAUAUGUGUUGCAAAUGCCUGUAGAAAUGUCAUCUGUGACCUCAUUUAUUUAGUGUCUGCUACUCAGAGUGAAGGAGGGGCAGUAGUAGUCAGUUUUGAGGAUCAGCCACUAUGUUGCAAGGCAAUGCAUAUUGACAGAUCCAGGCAGAAAUAAAUGUUGAACAAAGAGCUGAGCAGUGCCAGGCUGAGCUUAAGUGAUCCUUAGCUUCCUAUAGGACCCACUCUUUCCCCUGAGUAUUCCUUCUCCUCCCCACCCAAAGUUCCCAAUAAGUGUGUUGGCCUAUGAAGCACUGGACCCUCUCACACUAAAAAGUUUUUGUGUCAAUGCCCUGUAGGUUGAUUUAAGCCCUUUUCUCACUUGGUUUAUUCACGAGGGGCCUCCAAUCAGGCCAUUUUCAGUGGAAGGUUCAGUUGUGGAAUUUGCUUCCUACUUUGGUUUCUCAGAACCCAAAUCCAUUGACUUUCAGGUCAUGUUACAAGGCUCCUUUGUUCCACCAGGCUUUUCCUGGGUGAGUGGCAGAGAAGAUGAGUGGAGGUGAGAGGAGAGCUGUGUGUUUGCAAGAGGUGAGAUCAAGGUAUUUGGGACAGUUUACUAUUUAUUGCUUUUGGACAAAGGUCUACUUUUUUCAUUCUAAUACGUGUUUAUGGGCUUAGAGUGCUGAAUCAAUACAAUUUUAAAAAUCAAAAUAAAUAAAAAUGUAAGUAAAUAAACUCACGUAGUGCUGUUACUAGAAUUCCACACUAAUGGCAAGAUCUGAGCAGAGAGAAAUGUUCACAGAAUUAAUGAGCACAUUUCAGCUGAGCUCUGGUGCCCCACAACUUUCCCCUAUGUGUUUGUCCCUCAUCUCCUGCCUCAGUCUCCUCAAGAAUAAAUACAGCGCAGCAGAUUGAGAGCAUUAGGGUAACAGGCAAAUAGACAAUUUCACAGGAACUACAUUACAAUAGUACAACCAAUCUAAUUAAUUUAUGCAUGGUAAAAUCAGAAGUACACAAAAGUUACCAAGAGUUGCAUUUACUUGGUUAUGCAGUUCUCAUAAAGUCACCAAUUGCAUCCAUAUUAUGUCCCCACUAAAGUCAGUGGAGUUGCAUCAAUUUUAAUUUGAUCUAGCAUUUAACUCGAUAUGUUUUGUAGUAUUCUUUAUUGAUUCUUGAGAAGUGCCAGCCAACUGUUCCACAUACAGCCACCCAUCUAGUUGUCAGAAAGGACAGUUUUGUCUUUUUUUCUGCCAUCCACUUCAGCUUUUCUAUGCCAGCAAUUAUAAUAGGCAUAUAAUGCUGUAUCAAAGAAUCUCUUAGACAAAUACUGCCAGAUCUGCCUUUUGCUUUAUGGAGCAGUAUUAUAUCCAGUUCCGGGAUCAUUAACUCUAACUUACCAGUUGGAAGAGUGACACAGAAAAAAUGGGAUGGGCUCAGUUGUUGCUGAGGAGGCCGGUAAGUCUGUUGCCAUACUAGUGGAGUUGAUGUCUAGAAACGAUGGACAGAGUUAGACACCAAUGGGGUGGAAGACAAUGAAGGAAUCCAAUCCAUUUCCACCAAUCUGAUCCUCCAGUUGUAAUUGUACUAACUAGCAGCAAUGUUUGCGCCUGCUAGCCACACUUGCCUUUUUUUCUUGCAUGUAUGGAGAGUCCAUUUUGGUGUUCAUUAUGUCCUUAGUUUCCCAGAAGUUCCACGAUAUAGAAUUCCAUUUUCUCCUGUAAGAGAGUUACUCAGUUAAAACCUAGUCCUCACCAGUCAUUAUUGCUGCCUGGAAACCACAGCCACAGAGAGUUACAGAUGAAAUCUUUCCAGAUGUACCUUCCAACAGCUUGUGUGCUUAGAAAAUGUGAGAAGAAACAACAUUAGACAAUCUGUGUAAGAAAGUUUGUAACUGUGCAUUAUGGGUGAAAUACACCCAGUGGUUAUGACUAGCACAGGGUCUAAGCAACAUUUUAGUCCAAUUUAAGUGGUGCAUAGGUCCUUUGCUGGCCCUCUGCUCAAAAUUAAAUUUCAGCCCAUUGGCAUGACAGAGUAUACUGUACUAUAUGGGUGACAUGUCUAUAACAACAUAGUGAGUGCAUUCCCCCAACCUCUGAUUGUAUCUUCAUUUCCUAAAGGCUUGUCCUUAUCCUGAAGAGAGUAGUGCUAAUGCUAAAUCUAAAAUGAGAAAACUAGUUUCAUUACAGAAUGGUUGUCAGAAUUUUAUCAUUGGCUUUUGUUUUUUGUGUACAUUAUCUUGGUCAUUCUCUUGCAUCUGUUACUUUUCUGAGUUGUUCAGUCUUGGAUCUGAACAGCACAGUUAUGCUGGGUCUGUUUUCAUUUUGGUUCACUUAGUGGCAGGUCCCCACUCUCUUGCCCUCUUUUACAUACCGUUUGGCCAAAAGAGGUUAUAUCAUUAAAGAUGCUUUUUAUACUGUUAACUUGCUUAUUCUUUAUAAUCUUUAAGAUCCCUUCUUUGGACUUUAGAUUUAUUUAGGAACUUGAGUUAAGUUUCUUCGUCCACUGUACAUUCCCACUGAACUGGCUGGAAUUUGCUUCCAUUCAGACUAACCUGAAAAAUGUAUCUUUUUAGCUUGCGCUUUGAACUUAACAGUUUCACUUUAAGGCUCUUGGCUCUUAUUUUAUUUCAAGCACUCUGGGUUACAGUGCAUGGUGACAAGUUACAAUGAAAUAUGUAUAGUCUGUGGGAUUUUCAGGAUAUCAUGGAAAGACUGCAUGUUGGCUAAAGAUGAAUAAAUAGUAGUUGGCAAGUAUGCUACCUGGGAGCUUUCUAAUGCCUGUCAGUUACAUGGUAAAAAUGUGUGUUUGUAAUGUUUGAACUGCAGGUUUUUCAUGGGAUUGAUGCUAUGCAUGGCCACACAGCUGUUCACAGUAAAAAAAAAAAAAAAAAAAAAAAAAAAAGGGGGGGGGGGUUACUUUGUAAUAAAUUAGGAGGAUGUUACCGU